rnacentral:rRNA from 1 species
AACGAACGCUGGCGGCAGGCUUAACACAUGCAAGUCGAGCGCGUGGCAACACGAGCGGCAGACGGGUGAGUAACACGUGGGAACAUACCCUUUUCUACGGAAUAACGCAGGAAAACUUGUGCUAAUACCGUAUACGCCCUUAGGGGGAAAGAUUUAUCGGAGAAGGAUUGGCCCGCGUUGGAUUAGCUAGUUGGUGGGGUAAAGGCCUACCAAGGCGACGAUCCAUAGCUGGUCUGAGAGGAUGAUCAGCCACAUUGGGACUGAGACACGGCCCAAACUCCUACGGGAGGCAGCAGUGGGGAAUAUUGGACAAUGGGCGCAAGCCUGAUCCAGCCAUGCCGCGUGAGUGAUGAAGGCCUUAGGGUUGUAAAGCUCUUUCACCGGAGAAGAUAAUGACGGUAUCCGGAGAAGAAGCCCCGGCUAACUUCGUGCCAGCAGCCGCCGUAA